rnacentral:misc_RNA from 1 species
GCAAUAGAGAUUCCACAUCUUAAAGUAAGAACGUUCCAGAUUCCUCACCCAACGUGUUGUAUCAAAUAAAGGGCAACUCAUUCGUACAGCCUUGAGUCUAUUGGUGAGAUCUUGGAGCUUUGGACGAUUGAGUGCCAGUGACACCGCCUUCUCCUCAUAUUCCUUCAUACUGCUGACAAUCAUCUCAGCACCAAGUCCUGUCGCCAAACACAGAGAGCCAGCAACUCUAGUAGCCAUCUUCUCAAGGGGAAGGGUUACCAUUGGUAGACCAGCCCAAAGAACAUCAGUUCCUGUGGUAUGUGCAUUGCACAGUGGCGUGUCCAAGAAAAGAUCAGCCAAGGAGCUGCGCUUGAUGUGCUCUUGUUUCAUUGCAACAUCUGUGAAAAUAAUUUGGUCUGGUUGCAGGCCUUGGGCAGCAGCAUGUGCGCGGAGCCUCAUCUCUCCUGCAGCUGGAAAUCUGAGAAGCCAAAGAGCACUGUUUGGUACA